UACGUCACAUUUCGGGAGAUGGAAAUAUUGUUUCAGCCCCCCACAAAACUGGGCACAGCCGAAGAAAUGCUGCACGCCCCCAGAAUUUUCGGAGCAGAGGAGCGAUCACUUGCGCAUAUAAUUAAAUCAAAUUAAAGGAACCAAGAAGACAAAAGGCCAGCCGUCCCACUGUUCCACUUGUCACGGCAAAGGGCGUUUAUAUUUUGCACACAGAAAUAUAGGAUUGUAUUCAUGGUUUCCAACUGUAUUGGUUUUAAAUUUACCUAAGGAAUACACGCUCUGUACGUACUAAGCGUCAAAAAAUAAAAAAUACUCAAUAUAAUUCGAAAGUUGCGUGAGGAGAGGCUGAUGCCGCACCCGAACCUUUUUAUAGGGGACUCGCCCUGAGCGCCAACGCAAAUUCAAUGGAUCCGCUGAUCCUCCCAGCUCCUCCUGCCAUCGCCAUCGCCUUGAUCUUCGUGCAUCCCACUGGAGGCGCAAAAACCAAGUCACUGUCUCUAAUUGAAUUCGUCGGUUUAAAUAAAAUAAUUCAGCUGCAGGGGCAGUGCAAAUAAA